rnacentral:rRNA from 1 species
CCUACGGGUGGCUGCAGUGGGGAAUAUUGCACAAUGGGGGAAACCCUGAUGCAGCGACGCCGCGUGAAGGAAGAAGUAUUUCGGUAUGUAAACUUCUAUCAGCAGGGAAGAAAAUGACGGUACCUGACUAAGAAGCCCCGGCUAACUACGUGCCAGCAGCCGCGGUAAUACGUAGGGGGCAAGCGUUAUCCGGAUUUACUGGGUGUAAAGGGAGCGUAGACGGCGAUGCAAGCCAGAUGUGAAAGCCCGGGGCUCAACCCCGGGACUGUAUUUGGAACUGUGUGGCUGGAGUGUCGGAGAGGCAGGCGGAAUUCCUAGUGUAGCGGUGAAAUGCGUAGAUAGUAGGAGGAACACCAGUGGCGAAGGCGGCCUGCUGGACGAUGACUGACGUUGAGGCUCGAAAGCGUGGGGAACAAACAGGAUUAGAUACCCUGGUAGUC